CCCACAUCCGGUUCCUGUCCCCUCUGUCUGUCCUCCCACGUCUCAUGUGGCCAUGAGGUUCUGAGUGUCCCCCUCAAGGCCUGUGCUCUUCCUUCACUCUCUCCUUGAGCUCAGUGAGUCCUUCUCAUAUCAUCUCCAAGGCCUGGGCUCAGCCUUCAGCCUGGGCUCAGCCCCCAAAUCCUAGCCCUCUAUGUCCCACCUGCUUCGCCAUCCUCCAGCUACAGCCUCAGAAGUCUUACCUACUACAUGGGCUACUGGCUUGUCACUCGGAGUUCGAGAAGAUGAUCCUGAGGAGGAAAGAGGAAAGAAAAAGCAUCAGCAGAAGGCCAUGCUGCUCACUUCACUACCAACCCAGACCUCUACCCCUGGUCAAGCCCACCCACCAUGGCCACCAAGCACCUCUUCACUCCGGGGACAGAGGAAGAAUGAAGAAUAAAUUUAAUCACUGUUAACAGUUUGCUGUGGUCCCUUCCAGUCCUGUCUUGGUGUGUAUAAAUGCACAUAUGGGCGUCUUUUUUUCAGAGG